rnacentral:misc_RNA from 1 species
GUCCAGGAACGAGGCGAGACUCAAGGUUGAGGUGAGCGUUGGCGGGAGGUGGGUCCAAAGCUGGUGCGGAUCCACUAUUAACCUUGUUUGCGUCUUUCAUGAGCUUCUUCCAUGACACAAAUGUUGUCUCUCCGGGUCGAAGCUCCACAGUGAAUAUUUGCCUGUCUCCUAACUUCACAUACGACGGCGUUACCCUCGACGACGAUUCCCCUCCACCACCACCACUAGUCCCUUCCUCCAUUGGCCGGCUCACAAUUCUAGUGUACGGAAUUGAGAAUUUGAGAAGUUAAGAUUCCGCAGGCAUAGAGAGAAGAGGAAUUUAAUAAAACCCUAGAUAUUUAUUGAGAGAGAGAGAGAGAGAGAGAGA